rnacentral:rRNA from 1 species
GUGUCAGCCGCCGCGGUAAUACGUAGGGUGCAAGCGUUGUCCGGAAUUAUUGGGCGUAAAGAGCUCGUAGGCGGUCUGUCGCGUCGGCUGUGAAAUCCCGAGGCUCAACCUCGGGUCUGCAGUCGAUACGGGCAAACUAGAGUAUUGCAGGGGAGACUGGAAUUCCUGGUGUAGCGGUGAAAUGCGCAGAUAUCAGGAGGAACACCGGUGGCGAAGGCGGGUCUCUGGGCAAUAACUGACGCUGAGGAGCGAAAGCGUGGGGAGCGAACAGGAUUAGAUACCCUGGUAGUCC